rnacentral:rRNA from 1 species
UACAGAGGUGGCAAGCGUUGUUCGGAAUUACUGGGCGUAAAGGGCGCGUAGGCGGCCUUCUAAGUCAGACGUGAAAUCCCCCGGCUUAACCUGGGAACUGCGUCUGAUACUGGAGGCUUGAGUAUGGGAGAGGGAUGUAGAAUUCCAGGUGUAGCGGUGAAAUGCGUAGAUAUCUGGAGGAAUACCGGUGGCGAAGGCGGCAUCCUGGACCAUUACUGACGCCGAGGCGCGAAAGCUAGGGGAGCGAAACGGG